rnacentral:lncRNA from 1 species
AGUUCUCCGAAGAAGAUUUUUCAUGCAGGGAUGACAUAGAGAUAGAAUCUGUAGAUGCUAAACACAUAAAAGAGUCAUGUGCAAUAAGUGCCGUAGCGUUAACAUCCUCAUCACUUGAAGAUGUCUCACUCGAAGACGAGUCAUCCCAAGUGAUGGCUUGCAUCGCUUUCUUUUUCAAGGAUUUUUUAUUAGGAAAAUCUGAUGCAAUAUGAC